CAGCAGAGGCAGAUCGCUGCGAGAACCCAAUCGAGGGCGGGAGGCAGGAGUUUCUCGUACAAGAGGAGGCACCGAGACGAGCGGGCCGCCGGGGAAAUCCAGCGCCGGGUCGGAGCGGACACCGCCGCCACUGAGAUCUCGCCCCGCCGGCCAUUGUAAGAGAAACUUCACAGAGAUGAGUGGACGUUCCAAAAGCUUUAUCUCAGUUCCCUGCUGGUUCGAGAUCCGCACAAGUUUGCUCCCUUCCGUCAUCGGCCUCAUCUAAAGGAUGAUGAAGAGGAAAAUAAAAGUGGGGAUGAGCUCAAUGAAACGGAGAGGGGGGAAAGGAAUAACCAAGAAGGGGAGGGGAGGUCACAACCUCGAAGCCAACGGCAAGUUAAGGCAUCACCUUGAAUUUGUAACUCCAGUAACUAAAUGGACUUCAUUUUUUAUGUCAAACUUGUGAUCCUUCUUAUUACUGAAACCAAGUAUCAAUAUGUGACUGAUUGUUCUCUUAUUGUGGUCUGACAAGACUUAAAUAUUGGUAUGCCCCGAUCA